rnacentral:miRNA from 1 species
AAUAGCAUGCAUAGGCUGAGG